ACAGUUCUCGAUUGGCUGGGCGCCUAGGUAGGCCGCCUCCGCAUUAGCGGAGGAGCUUCGAGUGGCGCGCCCGUGAUUGGUGGACGUCCGCGUUUCUCCCAGGCGCGGCGCGCGACUGGCUGGCAGUGGCACGGUCUGCGGGGCCUGGGCGGUGCAGACGAGGCCUCAGGCGGAGGCUGCUGGGGGGGGCCGCGGCGGCGCAAGGCAGUUGGAAAUGAAACAGAGUGGACGCCACUGUUCUGAUUAGAUGAGGAAACGUAAGAAGUGCUUCAAAUUCAUUAGAAGGAGUAAGGAGCCCAAAUACGUGGAACCCUCACUGAUCGUCACGAAUUCAUCUAGCACUUGGGGCGUGGUUUUUCCAGGACUUUGUCAGACGUGGAGCAAAAGAGGGCUGAGGGGGACCCAAGAAUAUUUUUGGGUGAAGGCAAAGCAACAUGAUAGCAAUGCAGUCUUCGUUGCUGCACACAGGCUUUCUCCAGUUUCAGUGAGUGGGGGCUACUCUUUGUUGCGGUGCGUGGGCUUCUCACUGUGGUGGCUUUUCUUGUUGCGGAGCACGGGCUCUAGGCGCGUGGGCUUCAGUAGUUGUGGCACGCGGGCUCUAGAGCGCAGGCUCAGUAGUUGUGGCGCAUGUGCUUUGUUGCUCCGCGGCAUGUGGGAUCUUCCCGGACCAGGGAUCGAGUCCCCUGCAUUGGCAGGCAGAUUCUUAACCACUGGGCCA